rnacentral:rRNA from 1 species
AUUGAACGCUGGCGGCAUGCUUUACACAUGCAAGUCGAACGGUAACAGGCCGCAAGGUGCUGACGAGUGGCGAACGGGUGAGUAAUGCAUCGGAACGUGCCCAGUCGUGGGGGAUAACGCAGCGAAAGCUGUGCUAAUACCGCAUACGAUCUAUGGAUGAAAGCGGGGGACCGUAAGGCCUCGCGCGAUUGGAGCGGCCGAUGUCAGAUUAGGUAGUUGGUGGGGUAAAGGCCCAACAAGCCAACGAUCUUUAGCGGGUAUGAGAGGAGGACCAGCGACACUGGGACUGAGACACGGCCCAGACUCCUACGGGAGGCAGCAGUGGGGAAUGUUGGACAAUGGGCGCAAGCCUGAUCCAGCAAUGCCGCGUGCAGGAAGAAGGCCUUCGGGUUGUAAACUGCUUCUGUACGGAACGAAACGGUCUGGGUUAAUACCUCGGGCUAAUGACGGUACCGUAAGAAUAAGCACCGGCUAACUACGUGCCAGCCGCCGCUGUAAUAC